AUUGCCCUAGUAACGGCGAAGUGAAGCGGCAACAGCUCAAAUUUGAAAUCUGGCUCUUUCAGAGUCCGAGUUGUAAUUUGCAGAGGGCGCUUUGGCGUUGGCAGCGGUCCAAGUUCUUUGGAACAGGACGUCACAGAGGGUGAGAAUCCCGUACGUGGUCGCUAGCCUUCGCCGUGUAAAGCCCCUUCGACGAGUCGAGUUGUUUGGGAAUGCAGCUCUAAAUGGGAGGUAAAUUUCUUCUAAAGCUAAAUAUUGGCCAGAGACCGAUAGCGCACAAGUAGAGUGAUCGAAAGAUGAAAAGCACUUUGGAAAGAGAGUCAAAUAGCACGUGAAAUUGUUGAAAGGGAAGCGCUUGCAGCCAGACUUGCCUGUAGUUGCUUAUCCGGACUUUUGUCCGGUGCACUCUUCUGCGGGCAGGCCAGCAUCAGUUUGGGCGGUUGGAUAAAGGUCUCUGUCAUGUACCUCCUUUCGGGGAGGCCUUAUAGGGGAGACGACAUGCAACCAGCCUGGACUGAGGUCCGCGCAUCUGCUAGGAUGCUGGCGUAAUGGCUGUAAGCGGCCCGUCUUGAAACACGGACCAAGGAGUCUAACAUCUAUGCGAGUGUUUGGGUGUCAAGCCCAGACGCGUAAUGAAAGUGAACGGAGGUGGGAACCUUUUAGGUGCACCAUCGACCGAUCCUGAUGUCUUCGGAAGGAUUUGAGUAAGAGCAUGGCUGUUGGGACCCGAAAGAUGGUGAACUAUGCUUGAAUAGGGUGAAAGCCAGAGGAAACUCUGGUGGAGGCUCGCAGCGGUUCUGACGUGCAAAUCGAUCGUCAAAUUUGGGCAUAGGGGCCGAAAGACUAAUCGAACUAUCUAGUAGCUGG
rnacentral:rRNA from 1 species